rnacentral:rRNA from 1 species
GAUGAACGCUGGCGGCGUGCCUAAUACAUGCCAGUCGAGCGAACAGAUGAGGAGCUUGCUCCUCUGACGUUAGCGGCGGACGGGUGAGUAACACGUGGAUAACCUACCUAUAAGACUGGGAUAACUUCGGGAAACCGGAGCUAAUACCGGAUAAUAUAUUGAACCGCAUGGUUCAAUAGUGAAAGACGGUUUUGCUUUCACUUAUAGAUGGAUCCGCGCCGCAUUAGCUAGUUGGUAAGGUAACGGCUUACCAAGGCAACGAUGCGUAGCCGACCUGAGAGGGUGAUCGGCCACACUGGAACUGAGACACGGUCCAGACUCCUACGGGAGGCAGCAGUAGGGAAUCUUCCGCAAUGGGCGAAAGCCUGACGGAGCAACGCCGCGUGAGUGAUGAAGGUCUUCGGAUCGUAAAACUCUGUUAUUAGGGAAGAACAAAUGUGUAAGUAACUAUGCACGUCUUGACGGUACCUAAUCAGAAAGCCACGGCUAACUACGUG